rnacentral:rRNA from 1 species
AUUAAUUUAUGCGAUUAUUAAAUAAUGUUUUUAUUAAAAAUAAUAUUUUUAUUAUGUAUUAUUAUUCAUUAAUUUAUUUUAAAACUGUUUUUUUAUUAUGUUUAGUUAGUCCUAGCCGUACAAAUUGUUUUUUUCAAUUUAGUUUUUUUAAACAUAUUAAUUGACUUUGUACAAUAUUUACAUUUAAAACUUUAAUUUUAUUAUUUUUUAAAACACUAAAAGUAUCUUAUUUUUUUACUAAGUUAUUAUUAAUUUUAAAUAAAAUUUUUUUUUUCCUCCGUUAUAAUUUUUUAAUAUUAUUAAUUUAUCGUUGAUUUAUUAUUAUACCUAAAUUAUAUACUUUUUUAAUAUUUAAAUAUAAAUUAUUUAUAUUAUUAUUUAUUCCAAAAUAUUCAUAUUCUUUUAAAAAAUUAAAAAAUAUUCGACGAAUAAAGAAAAAAUUAUUAAAACGAAUUUUUAUAAAAAAUUAAUAUAAUAUAUUAAUAUAAUAUAUUAAUAUAAUUGGAUAUAACUUAUAUUAAUAUUAUGAGUUUGACUCUGGCUCGGAGUGAACGCGAGCAAAGUGUUUUGACACAUGCGAAUAUUUAGUAUAAUUAAUUUAUAUUAUAUUAAUAUGUACGGGUGAGUAUUUAGAUAAUUAGUUUAUAGUUUCAUUAAUUUUUGAAAUAUUAAAUAUAAAUUAUAUUAUUAAUAAAAUUAAAUAGUAGAUGUUUCUAGUUGAUAAUUUUUAAUUAAAUUGAGAGAUGAUUUAAUCACAUGGGGAUUGCAAAGGGCCCUACCGUUGGCAGCAGUGGAGAAUAUUGGUCAAUGAUUUAAUUUGAACCAGCGCUUUGCGGGAAUGAUAAAUUUUUUAAAAUUAUGAAGGCUAUGACAGUUGUAAAGUUCAAUCGUAAAAUAAAAAAUUGAUAUUAUUUUAAAAAGAACCCCAGGCUAACAACGUGCCAGCAGCUGCGGUAAGACGUUGAGGGGGAAGCGUUACUGGUCGUGAUUGGGUGUAAAAGUAACUAAACGGUUUAAUAGAUAUUUAUUAUUAGUUUUUUUAAUUAACUCUCUAUAAUUAUACAUUAAUACUAGAAUUUAUAAAAUGUAAAUAACAUGAUAAUAGAAAAGAUGAAAUUUGUUUAUAGUAUUAUUAUAUUAUCAGCUGUACGACGAUUUACAAUUAUAUAUUGACGUUGAAUUACUGGAGUAUAGGUAUCGAUGUGGAUUUGAGACCCAAGUAGUCUAUACCGUGAAUUAUGAAUGCUUAUUUUAAUUAACAUUUCAAGCAUUUUACCUGAAAAGUACGGCUGCAAAGGCAAAAUUUAAAGAGAUUGGCGGGAAUUUAAAUAAAUGGUGGAAUAUGUGGUUUAAUUUGAUAAUCCACGGAAAAUCUUACCAAUGUAGAACACUAAAUUAAAUAUUUUUUUAUUGGAAAUAUAUUGAUAAUUUUUGUAUUGGCAUUGCAUGGCUGUCGGCAGUUUGUAAUUUAAAUUUAUUUACAAACGUAAUCUUAGAUAAUUAUUAAUUUAAUUGUAUUUAUUUAAUUCAAAUUUAAAUAAAAUAGUUUAAUAUAAUUAUUAUACUAUAGUAUAAACGUAAUUAAUAUGAGGUGUGAUUAGUUAUUAAUAUAUUUUUUUAAAUAUAUUAUUACUAGUUAUUACUAAUUAUGAUUAUUUUAAUAUGUGGUAUUUAUUGAGGGGAAGUCAAGUCAUUAUGAUCUAGAAAUGUUGGGCUACACACGUAUUACAGGGGUAAAAACAAAAAAUAUUUAAAUUGUAAAAUUUAUAUAAAUUUAAAAAAUUACCAAAGUUCGGAUUGUAUAUUGUAAUUAAUAUAUAUGAAGGUGGAAUCAUUAGUAAUUAUAAAUAAUAAUGUUAUAAUGAAUUUUUUUUGAAUUUUGCACACACCGCCCAUCAUAUUCGAAGAAUUUUUUUGGUUUUAUGAAAGAUUAUUUUUUUAAAUAAAAAAAAUUAAUUAAUAUUUAAUAAGAGUAUUUUUUAGAAACAGGGGGGUAAUUUGGAUGAAGUUGAAACAAGGUAAUAAUAGGGGAACCUGUUGUUGGAAUAUUAAUUAUAAUUAUUAUAAUAAAUAUAUUAUAAUGAGUAUAUUAUAAUAAAUUAAAAAUAAUUAAGAUUUGAUUGUAUUAAAGGGAUAUCUUUAUAUUAAAUAAUAAUAAAUAAUAACGAUAUUGUAGAUUUAAUGUAGUUUUAAUUAAUAUUGAUAUUAAAAUAAAAUAAAUUAUUUAAAAUGAAGUAAAUUAUUAUAUUAAUUUUAAACAAAAUUCAAACGAUUAAAAAAUUAGUAACGACGAGUGAAUAUUUUAAGUUUUUAAUAUAAAUCUUAAUUAUGAAAUAUUCUAUAAAUUAUAUAAGUUAUAUAUAAAUUAUAAAUAUUAUAUAAAAUAAGGUUUCAAUCCUGUAAUAA